UGCCACACUCAUGCCUGCUCAUGACAGCAGU
rnacentral:piRNA from 1 species